GUCGGUUAAGGGCUUGUAAGUAAGCGUUUCAAGGUAAGAUCUACACACGUUGAAUUCGGCGCAUGUGACAAAUAACGUUUGAUUUGAUUUCACAUCAACUGAUUUGUAAAAAAAAAGAUAUUUGACUGUGUAAAUUCAUUGGGUAGGCCUAUAGGCUAUUCACUGUAGUACUAUUCCUUAUCAUUCCUCUUUAGCUCUUGGAGUCCCUGGACAUCAACCACCCGAGCCACUGCCUGUUCACACCGCUACCAUCCAGAAGGAGAGUUGCAGCUACAGUAUGCUUAACAGUUCUAAUAUUAUGGUACAGCUAGACGGACUCUUCAUCGUCAUGGUGCUUUUUGAUAAGGCCGGUGGUUCCUGGUCCCCUGGCUGAUGGCGUCCCCCACGACACCCCUCCGCCUCCCUUGGACAUCAAGGGGAGCCCCGCACUGUCAUGCCUACUCCUGCUCCCUCCUUCCGGCGCUCGUCUAAUCACCGGUCCUGGCAACCCACAUUGUACACAUCUGGCAACCAUCAUUGCGCAGCACACCUGGUCCCCAUCGUUAAGCACACCUGGACUUCAUCACCACCCUGAUUAGUCUCCCUUCAUUUAGCCCUCAGUAGCUUCAAUCAUCAGGCAGUAUUGGUUUUGGUUACAU
rnacentral:lncRNA from 1 species